rnacentral:rRNA from 1 species
GACUAACGCUGGCGGCGUGCCUAACACAUGCAAGUCGAACGAAGUAGCAAUACUUAGUGGCAGACGGGUGAGUAACACGUAGUCAACCUACCUUUAAGUGGGGGAUAACUAGCCGAAAGGUUAGCUAAUACCGCAUGUGAUCUCCGAGUGGCAUCAUUUGGCGAUCAAAGCAGCAAUGCGCUUAGAGACGGGACUGCGUCCCAUUAGCUAGUUGGUGGGGUAAUGGCCUACCAAGGCUCCGAUGGGUAGCUGGCUUGAGAGAGCGACCAG